CCUCCUGGUGGGAGUAAAUCACAUUUAGGUUUUAUGCUGUUUUCUGACAGCUGUGACAGUGUCUCAGGCUUUCCUUGUUUCGGAUGCCUUGACGGCUUUGAGACGUCCUGGUCAGGUAUUUUGGAGAUUGUGCCUCAGUUGGAAUUGUGUGUUUUUCUCAUGAUUAAACUGGAAGACCAUAGAGGAGAAGGGUCACUGUCAUCACAUGUUAUCAAGGGUGCAUGUGUCAAUGUGGUGAUUCAUCCCUGCUGGUGUGAGCCUCAGCCACCUGGCUGCCGAUGCUUGUCAGGUUUUUGCACCCUCAACUCAGUCUUCCUCCCCAUACUGUACAGGAAGUCACUUAAGGAGGAAGGAGUUGUGCUCCACCUUUUUUAUUAUUUUGGUAUUAAUAUACAAUCACAUGAGCAACAUUGUGGUUACUAGAUUCCCCUCUGUGGGAUUGAUGGGGUUGAUACAUAAUUCAAGUAAGGUAGAAAUCAAAUGUAUAAGCACACAUGACUUGACUGUUUUUCCCACACACUCUGUUGAUGUGUAAUCAAGGACUGAGUGAUGGGAACCAAAGCAGUUCUCAUGGCUCGGAGCCAUCUUCACACAGUUUGGUAUCCUUGAGAAGCCUCACAACCUUGGGCUAGACUCAAGGCCGGAUAAUGAUGUUUGAGUUCAUUGUAAGUUCAUUUCUCAGUAAACAUGAGGAGUAUCUUCUCAGCAUUGCUCUUGAGCUGUUAUGCCUUGAGCUCCCUGGCUGACCCUUUCAGGUCUUCAACAACUCAUGUCUCCUCCUUUGCGGCUUAGAGGCAGGGAGGGGACUGACUGGCAAGUGGGGCCCGAACAGGGACCGUUGAAACUCAGAGCAGGGAAGCUCCACUCGGGCGACCCUUGACAAGCAGAGUGGGCAGCUCCGAAGGUCGUCGAUCCGGUAAGACUCCCGAGAAAUCGCACAUAGGGACAGGAUCGAGAUGUCAGGACACUAUAAUAGGCCAAACAGACCAAAGCAGCUAACUGAAGGACUAUUUAAAAUUACUCUGUGCCCUCCUAAAAACAUCAGGAGUGAAAACUUCUAAGAGGGAUUUUGCCCAAUUGCAUAAAUACAUUUAAAAAUAUUGUUAUUGGUUGCCACCGCAGGGAACCCUCAAACAAACUAAUUGGGCUAAUGUUACGAGAGAUCUUAAGAAAGCUCAUGGACAGGGCAAUGCUAUUCCUUUGCCUAUCUAGUCUUUAUGUAACGAUCACUCCUGCUUUGCAACCUUUACAAACUCCCCCUUUUUAGGGGCUCACCCGGGAUAACCUCAGAGGUGAGUAUCAGCAUCCAAGCCUGCCUUUUCUUUCACUGUCCUUAUAGAAGGAAGCUGUCUGUGGCACACAUCGGGCGCUCGUCAGCCACUUAAAUGGGACGAGCCCGGCUGCUGAUGUCAAAGUCUCGAGCGACAGUUUCCCCUGCGUCUCCCUCAGUGGAUGCCCCAUCUCCCAUGGGAGCCGGGAAAGUCAGCUGAGUGGAGGCCCGGAUUCCCUUUCAGAGGCCUCUCCUUGGAUGCGAGGGACCGAGGAAAGCCAUGAGCACCUGCGAGAGUCUAGGCUGAGGCUGCACUUCAGCGGCUUCUGAAAGGCCUGCGUGUCUGGAAUCAGACCCCGACAGCCCGACUGGGUAUCUGUGAGAAGUGCCUCUCCGUCUCUGACUUCCAGCCUGCUUCAGCCUGCCCUGGCCUCUGAGUGAGGCAGGGGGUGUCCCUAACUCUCUUCUAACUUCAUCAAUCUCACGGAACCUGACACUCACCCCCGCAAGAGGCAGUCGUCCUGGAGCUAAGCAUUUCCUUGUUUGCAGCCCCAGGGAAGCGAAACGAGCCUGUGACUCAGAUCAAGGCUCUAAGCAGUGAAGAAAAGUCACACAGUCCCUGCACUUAUCAGACAAGCAGGGGCCUCUCCAGGAAGGACUAAAGCUCGGGCAGAAGAAACUAGGAAAACUAACUGAGAGUAAUUCAAUCCCUACACU